GAGCUUCGGUUAAUUUUUUGUCUGAAUAAAGAAGCCCACAGACCAAACUAUUCAUCCUGUCUUCGCCGUUUUCUCUCUUCCACAUCGUAGACCUAAUCUGUUGAGCCUUUCGACUCCCACCCCUCCUGUUUCUCAUCUUUUCAUAUCAUUUUUGACGAUUAAUUCACCCUACCAUCUCUAAUCAAUCCUUCCCAAACUCAUUCAAUUGAUUCCUUUCACCUUCUUCUCUGCUUUUCUAUUUAUAAGCUUUUUCAUUUCUUUUUGACGAUUAAUUUCUUAUUUCUCAUCUCUUAAACACUCAACCUGAUGGAUCCCACCGGAAACUCUUCACUCUCCAGCAUCCGCGAGAACGGCAAGAAGACCGUCGCCUCCUCUGCAAAUCCGAAACCAAACGGGAAGUCCAUUGAUUCCUCCGCCGCUAUGGAGAAACCUAAGGAGAAGACUGCUUUGUUGUCCACCAAUUCGAUGAAACCAAACCGCUGCGGCAUAAGAGAAAUGCAGGAGGCCGUCAUUGUGGUGUUGGAUCGCUGUGCGAGAAGAAGGUUGUGUCUUUUAGUUCUGCAACUCCCUCUCAAAUGAUUUCUAUAAAUAAUCUCCCUUGAUUUCAGUUCACAAAAGUAUUGAUGUAUAUUUUAAGUUUCUCUCUAAAACUUCUUUUGUCAUAGCGACUGAGUUCAAUCGUUCCACUUCUACACAAUCAAAAGACAAGAGGCAGUGCACUUUAGGGCAUAGCGUAAGGAGAGGAAGUUGAUUACCGUACGGCGGAUUGCCUCGCUGAAGAAUAAGGUAGCGGUUGAUUUCCACCACCAUAGUCGUUACUGACAUCGCUGGAAACAAAAAGGAAAAAAGAUGCCAAGCAAGAAGCUUUCAGGAAGUAUUUAGAGUUCAGUAGAGUUAUUGAUUCUCUAACCAAAGAAUGAUAAGUCUUCCUCUGCUUUAGAGUCAGUUAAGUUCCUGGACACCUACUUUGUUUCUAACCAGUAUGUACCCAGGUGAUGAUAGCUUCUAAGAACUUUGUCGGGUGGAACUGGGUUGCUCUUGCCAGGCAGUCAUGGUACUGCUGUGGAGUCACGCAAGAAGCCAGCCAGUCAUGGUUUUGGAGAUAUUGUUGUUCUAGGGGAGUCAAUUUCUGUAACCGAAGCUGAGGCUAGAGCUAUUUUGAUGGCGGUGCAGAGUACACGGUUCAUGGGUUAUGAGAAUGUGAUUUUUGAAAGUAACUGUAACUCCUUGGUGCAAAGUCUGAAUGGAAAUGAUCAUUGUUUCCAUAUUCAGAAUGUCUUACUUGAUAUUCGGUUAUGGUCGUCUCAUUUCAAGGGGUGUCAUUUCCUCUUUGUGAAGCGUCAAGAAAAGGAAGCAGCUCACUUCUUGGCCCGACAUAGUCCUCAAAAUAACAUUUUCUUUUCAAGUUGUCCAUUUCUACCUUUUUGGUUAGCUCCAAUUUUGUAUAAAGAUUAUGUUACUUCUUCUGAUUAUUAAUACAUAUCUGUUUUCCGAAAAA